rnacentral:rRNA from 1 species
GGGUUCUUGGGUAGGGAUAGACAUGCUAGUCAGCGCUCGCCAGCCAAAGGCAAGUGCGGCGUACAGCUCAGUAACACGUGGCUAACCUGCCCUUGGGACAAGGACACCCCCGGGAAACUGGGGCUAAUCCUUGAUAGGUGAAGAAUUCUGGAAUGAAUCUUCGCCCAAAAGAAGCUUACGCCAUGCUCGUAGGCUCCGCCCAAGGAUGGGGCCGCGACCGAUCAGGUAGUUGGUGAGGCAACGGCUCACCAAGCCUUUUACCGGUGCGGGCCGUGGGAGCGGGAGCCCGGAGAUGGGCACUGAGACAAGGGCCCAGGCCCUACGGGGCGCAGCAGUCGCGAAAACUUUGCAAUACACGAAAGUGUGACAGGGCUAUCCCGAGUGCCAUCCGCUGAGGAAGGCUUUUACCCAGUGUAGAAAGCUGGGGGAAUAAGGAGAGGGCAAGACUGGUGUCAGCCGCCGCGGUAAUACCAGCUCUCCGAGUGGUGUGGAUGUUUAUUGGGCCUAAAGCAUCCGUAGCUGGCCAAGUUAGUCCCCUGUUAAACCCAACGAAUUAAUCGUUGGAUUGCGGGGGAUACUGCUCGGCUAGGGGACGAGAGAGGCCGACGGUAUUCUCGGGGUAGGGGUGAAAUCCUAUAAUCCCGGGAAGACCACCAGUGGCGAAGGCUGUCGGCUAGAACGCGCCCGACGGUGAGGGAUGAAAGCUGGGGGAGCGAACCGGAUUAGAUACCCGGGUAGUCCCAGCUGUAAACGAUGCAGACUAGGUGUUUGGACGGCCACGUGCCGUUCUAGUGCCGCAGGGAAGCUGUUAAGUCUGCCGCCUGGGGAGUACGAUCGCAAGAUUGAAACUUAAAGGAAUUGGCGGGGGAGCACCACAAGGGGUGAAGCUUGCGGUUUAAUUGGAGUCAACGCCGGG